GGAACUAGCUCAGUCGGGUAGAGCACAAGACUUAGGAUCUUGUUGUCGAGGGUUCGAAUCCUUCGUUCCA
rnacentral:tRNA from 1 species